GCUAACUUCGUGCCAGCAGCCGCGGUAAUACGAAGGGUGCAAGCGUUACUCGGAAUUACUGGGCGUAAAGCGUGCGUAGGUGGUUGUUUAAGUCUGAUGUGAAAGCCCUGGGCUCAACCUGGGAAUGGCAUUGGAUACUGGAUAGCUAGAGUGCGGUAGAGGGUAGUGGAAUUCCCGGUGUAGCAGUGAAAUGCGUAGAGAUCGGGAGGAACAUCCGUGGCGAAGGCGACUACCUGGGCCAGCACUGACACUGAGGCACGAAAGCGUGGGGAGCAAACAGGAUUAGAUACCCGUGUAGUC
rnacentral:rRNA from 1 species